AUUGAACGCUGGCGGCAGGCCUAACACAUGCAAGUCGAACGAGUGGCGGACGGGUGAGAAAUGUCUGGGAAACUGCCUGAUGGAGGGGGAUAACUACUGGAAACGGUAGCUAACACCGAAUACCAUCAGAUGUGCCCAGAUGGGAGUGGCUUGUUGGGAGGGUAACGGCUCACCAAGGCGACGAUCCCUCGCUGGUCUGAGAGGAUGACCAGCCACUCGGGAACUGUGCAACGGGCCAGACUCCUACGGGAGGCAGCAGUGGGGAAUAUUGCACAAUGGGCGCAAGCCUGAUGCAGCCAUGCCGCGUGUAUGAAGAAGGCCUUCGGGUUGUAAAGUACUUUCAGCGGGGAGGCGUUACCCGCAGAAGAAGCACCGGCUAACUCCGUGCCAGCAGCCGCGGUAAUAC
rnacentral:rRNA from 1 species